GACUAUAGAGGUAAGUGGCGAAAGGGCAUCGCAUCUGACUACAAUCAUUCUCCCGCCUCUGACUCAAUGUGUAAUCAGGAGAUUGCAGGUUCGACCCCUGUCUCAGUCA